rnacentral:rRNA from 1 species
CCUACGGGGGACAGCAGUGGGGAAUAUUGGGCAAUGGGCGAAAGCCUGACCCAGCAACGCCGCGUGAAGGAAGAAGGCUUUCGGGUUGUAAACUUCUUUUCUCAGGGACGAAGAAAGUGACGGUACCUGAGGAAUAAGCUACGGCUAACUACGUGCCAGCAGCCGCGGUAAUACGUAGGGGGCAAGCGUUAUUCGGAUUUACUGGGCGUAAAGGGGGGGUAGGCGGGACAGCAAGUCAGAUGUGAAUUCCACGGGGCUAACCUGUGGCCUGCAUUUGAAACUGUAGUUCUUGAGUGCCGGAGAGGCAGGUGGAAUUCCUAGUGUAGCGGUGAAAGGCGUAGAUAUUAGGAGGAACACCAGUGGCGAAGGCGGUCUGCUGGACAGCAACUGACGCUGAGGCACGAAAGCGUGGGGAGCAAACAGGAUUAGAUACCCUUGUAGUC